rnacentral:rRNA from 1 species
UACGUAGGGUGCAAGCGUUGUCCGGAAUUAUUGGGCGUAAAGAGCUUGUAGGCGGUUUGUCGCGUCUGCUGUGAAAUUUCGGGGCUCAACCCCGAACUUGCAGUGGGUACGGGCAGACUAGAGUGUGGUAGGGGAGACUGGAAUUCCUGGUGUAGCGGUGAAAUGCGCAGAUAUCAGGAGGAACACCGGUGGCGAAGGCAGCUCGCUGGGACGUUACUGACGCUGAGACGCGAAAGCGUGGGGAGCAAACAGG